rnacentral:rRNA from 1 species
GCCAUAUCAGACUGCAGCCCAAGACUGGUUGCCCACUGAAGCUAAGCAGGGUUGAGCCUGGUCUGUACCUGGAUGGGAGACCUCCUGGGAAAACUGAAAAAUUAGCA